rnacentral:lncRNA from 1 species
UCCUGCGGGUAUCCUCAAGAGACUGCAAUUGGUGGUAGAAGACCUAUCUGUGGUAUGUAAUUCAUGUGGUUGAUACUUAAUUUCUAAGUAGGUUAUAAUGAGGUCUUUCUAAACUUGUUUGUAUUUUGCACCUUCAGAUCUUUCUCUUUGAGUUGUAGUUGAUUGUUGUUGAAGUUCAAAUGCUUGGCAAUGUUGCCUUUGGCACUGUGCGCUUGUAGCUGUUAAGUUUUCUUCCUUGCAAGAAGCUAUGAGGAGUCCAGGGCAGCAGCACAUGACAUUCUUCAAGAGGCAGGAGAGGAGUUGAUGAAGGACGAUGCACUAGGGUUUGAUAACUCCCAGUUUUGAAACUUUGUUUCUUGAGGUGAGUAAUGAGUCUCAGGAAGGAUUCAAAAAUAUUAAGCGAUACAUAGGGGUUUUAAUUGUGGUAUAUGCUCAAGUUGGCAAGAGUGUCAGCAACAUGUUAAAGGUUAUAAGGGUUGCAUGUUUAGAAGUUUUAGAACCAGAUAGGAGGCAGAUGAUUUUGUGAAGAGUUAGGGUUGUAUGGUAGUGAUGUACCCUCUCUAAAGCUAUCUCAAUUUGUGAGGCUGAGUUGGAUAUUAGUUUGUCAAUACUCUGUCUUUGUUUGUGAUGAGACGGGUAUCCUGCGUAAUCCAGUUUCUUCUUGGUUUUUCAUAAAACAUUGAGGCCCCAAAGGAUUGUAAAUAUUUCCGCAUGUUGCUCCAAGGUUGGUACACAGCUGACCUCUAUAUUGUUGUCUUGAUGUUUUUCUCAAAUAAAGUGAUGAUGAAGAUCAUCACUAAUGAGAAGAAAACAUGAGACAACAAAAUUUCUAAAUCCUUUGAUUGUGUUAGAUUGAGAAGCCUCUCUGAGUCGGUUUUAUAUUUAACAAGUUUAGGUCUACUAGUCCUAAAAAUAAAAAUAAAAUUGAGGUAAAAUGUUUUUUUUUCUACAUGACAUAUACAGUGUUAUUUCAUAGAAUUUGCAAUAAAUCCACCUCAAGAAAUGGUUUGUAUAAAAAUGUCAAAAGUUUUGUUUGAAAUUGCUAAAUAAAAAUAAAAAUAAAAAUAAAAAAACACACAGACACAUUAAAAUAAGAAUAAUUUAUUUUGUUACAUUUGUUAUAAUUAUUAGAUUUAAGAUAUGAUUUGGCACACUUUAUUUAUAUUUUUUUAAAUUAUUUGUGCCACUUUCUAGCCUUACUUUACUUUACAUUAUUUUCAAAAGCCAAAAUUUUCAAAGAAGAGAUUUUAUUAAUCAUGCAAGGGACCUCUGUAAAGCUUUUUAUAUCAUGCCCUUUCAAAGUUCAAGGCAUGAUAUAAAACUCAAAGACAAGUCUUAUGAUGUUUCCCUACAUAGAUUGAAACACAUAACAUUGUGCAUAUUUUGAUGUUAAAGAUGGAACACAAUAUUGCAAGACAGGACAAUCAAAAACACAAAAUGUACACCCAACAGGAAAUCAC